GUAGAUCUUCCCAGGAUUCCUCUUUCCUCAGUUAUGGUUGACUUCUUAAAGAGACCAAGACCCAAAGCUCUGUAAUCCACUUGAAGUGGGGAUUUGUGUAUCAUGCGAGUUCAUAGGCCUUCAGAUUGAAAAAGUUGCACCUGAGCAGAUGCACCCAAUGAACUACACCAAAGGAGUUUCUUCUUCAUAGGCCUGAUUUAGAUGGUGAGAUCCUGGACUUUGAUCCAAUGCCAUAAUGAUUUGAGACUUUCGGUUGAGAAUGUGAGUGUAUUAUGAUUGGGAAGGGACAUCAAUUGUUAUUCCAGAAGGCAAACUAUAAGAGAUUGUUUCCAAAGAUGGCCACCAACAAUUCCUCCCAUCUCUUGUAUGUGUAUGAGGUUUCUACUAUCAAG